CCUCUCAUCGAUUUCUUCGAUGGGACAAUUAUCGAGACGGUUUCGUGGCGAGGAAGUGAUUAGAUAAAUAUUUUUUUCGACGGAACGUAUCGAAUUAUUUACUUAAACGAAGGAAAACGCAACUCUUUUUUCUUGUGCGCGGCUCUAAUCGAAAAAUAUCGAAUGCACGAAAAGUGAAUAAGUGUUUUUUUCUUCUUGGUUAAUUUAAAAAGAAAAAUUGUUCGUGCCACCGAUAUUUAUAUUCUUCUCUUCGUAGAAAUUUCGAUUUUGUCAUCAAGGGAUUAUGAUCCGAGAAGAAGUAGCAUGCAAAAAAUUUUCUAAAAUAUAAAAAAAGUUAAGUGCUAAUCCACCAAGUUGAACUUGACAUACUUUCGAAAUAUGGCAUCCAAUGCAAUGGCAUUAAGACCCAAAGAAUCUUCGGUGCGCAGUAAUGAAAGCAUAGGUUGGUGAGAAGUGUUAGAGCGUCAGGAUGUUCGGCGCCACAUUGCCGCGACCCAAAUAGUAAUAAUACCGUCGGCGAAGCUUCUGUCGAUGGAGACGCUGUUGCGAGUGAUGGAGGACGAGGAAGAAUGACCGUACACCACCUACAUUUGCCUCAAUCUUGGACUCUGCGUAUAUUAUUAUUCGAGAAAAUUUUUACGAGUCCUUUGGAUCGGCCACGUUCCUCCUAUGGCCCUCGUUUAAAUUAUUCUCGCCUGUCUUGUGGUUACACAACGCGUAUAUCUAUGCAAAAAUUUCAAGGAAGACCAUUAAGGGAAAGAGAAAGAAACUUUUCUCGUGUUGAUAAAUCAAGUUACGACACCCACGUAAUACUGGUUGGGAAAAAUUCGAGCAAGCAGAUAUAAUAAUAAGAACGAUGUGGGUGGAAAGUCGAUUGUUACUGUAAUUUUGUUGUAUGUUGUUGGUGUGAAUAACCAGCCAAUUUGUUUAUAUUACCGUUUCGUGUUCAGACGAAAUCGAUUUUCCACGAAACGAAACGAACGAACGAGACUUUGCAACCAAUGUGGAAAACGAUUUUUCGAAUUAACAAAAAAUGUGUAGAUAACUGUAUAUUAUCAAGUGAUUAACUGUACGAUGAAACUCGUCAAUAUUUAUCUCGUGAUUAGAAUGAUUGCAUGGAGAUAAUUGUAUCAAUUACGUGCAAUUUUGUCGGCAGAGUUUAAAUCCAAAAUGGCGAUUAGUUGUUUGGCUAUCGAGGAAUCCGCUUUCACAGAUAAACGCCGAAUUAAUUCACUGCUCUCUGUUUUCAUACGAUAGAUAUUAUUCGCUCGUAUCCUUUUAUUGUAAUAUGAAUUGGCCGAUUGCCAAAAACGAUUUUAUUACUUUUAUGUUCGGUGAAAAAUUGAUGGAAUAUUUCAUUUAGGUAUGAAAAUAAAAAUUUACUCGAAUAAGUAAUAGUUGCAGUUUUCACGAAUAAUUUAUCAUUUUUGAUUAACAAGUACGGUUUUACAAACGAAAUUUCAAAAGAAACGAGUUGAAAAUAAUAAAAUUUCUUUAUUCAGA